rnacentral:rRNA from 1 species
GACGAACGCUGGCGGCGUGCCUAAUACAUGCAAGUCGAGCGAAUGACGAGAAGCUUGCUUCUCUGAUUUAGCGGCGGACGGGUGAGUAACACGUGGGCAACCUGCCCUACAGAUUGGGAUAACUCAGGGAAACCUGGGCUAAUACCGGUUAAUCCUUCGAAUCACAUGUUUUGAAGUUGAAAGGCGCUUCGGCGUCACUGUAGGAUGGGCCCGCGGUGCAUUAGCUAGUGGGUGGGUAACGGCCUACCAAGGCAACGAUGCAUAGCCGACCUGAGAGGGUGAUCGGCCACAUUGGGACUGAGACACGGCCCAAACUCCUACGGGAGGCAGCAGUAGGGAAUCUUCCACAAUGGACGAAAGUCUGAUGGAGCAACGCCGCGUGAGUGAUGAAGGUUUUCGGAUCGUAAAACUCUGUUGUAAGGGAAGAACAAGUACGUUAGGAAAUGAACGUACCUUGACGGUACCUUAUUAGAAAGCCACGGCUAACUACGUGCCAGCCGCCGCAGUAA